GUAAUGCAAAUUUUUAUAGUCCUCCUUGUAUAUCAAGUGCUUUAGGAAAAUUGGCUCUUGAUAAUGAAGUCAGUCAUACUGCAGAUAGAAAGAAUGAACUUCUUGAAAAUUUUUCUUCACUUGCGCAAAGUAGAAAACAAGAAAGCCCCUCUUCACAGAUGGCUGCUUUGCCGGUGUUAAGGUCUGGAAGUACAUCAUUGGCUGACUUACUUCAGGAGCACCAGGAAAGUAGUGCAAGCCACUGUUACUCUUUGGCUGAUCUUUAUACCCAGUCAACAGCAAGUCUCACAGAUAGGAGUUUGGGAGCAUCAUCAUUAUCACAACUAGUAAGUCAAGCACAGACUUCAGGUGGGAUGCCAGAGUUAACAGGAUCUUUGUCUUCGCUAGCCCUCUCUACAGUUUCUCCACUAAAGGAAGUCGAGAACUUAUCACUCUCUGAUUUAAUAGCAGAGGCUAUUGAAGUAGAUAAUACUCAAGAAAAAAAGGACGUCUCCAUGCUCAGUGUAACUGAUUUGAGGCCCUCUAAAAGAACAAACAUUGAUUUAAGUGUCCUUUUAAAAAAUGCAGAUGCAUCUGCAGAACAAAAUGUAGUAGGACAGUCAAAUAUCUUAAUUCCUGAAACAAAACAUUUAAAAGUAAAGCAGGGAAAAAGUUCUGGUUUUGCUAAAACGAAUAAAAAGAUCAAAAGAGGGCUUACUUCUAAGAGGCAGGACUUGUCUCUUUCAUGGGUGAAGGCUCUGUGUGCAAGACCUUCAGCUUUUGCUUUAACCUUAUGUCUUCGUUAUCCUCCAGAAGGAUAUAAGCGACACACAACUGGUAUGCACAAAGCUUUCCUAUACAGUAGACAAGUACAAGAUGUAAAACCCAAGGAGAUUGCUCCUAUAACAGCCAUAACACCGUUUGACUUCAAAUCAGCAUCUCCUGAUGAUAUUGUGAAAGCUAAACAACAAAAAGCAUUUACAAGACAGUAGUGCAAAGAAAAGUGAAAUAAUUGAUGUUUAUAUCUUGGUAUAUUGGAAAAAAAAAUAGGACCUAUUUAUAAUCCAGAAUUGAAUUUUUAAACUUUUUAAUUGACAUGGUAAUUCUCACUACUAGAUUGGUAACAAAUUUGUAUGUGAACUUUUAAGGUGUUGCACUGAAUGUUUUUAUUUUUGCCUAAUUUUCACUGACAAUUUAACAUUUUUAACUUUUAUGAAGUCUUGAACUUUAGUAUAUAGAUAAUUCAUGUACAAAAUUUAGUAAACACUCUUAGACUUCUUGAAACACCCUUCUAGGUGUGUGUGUGUAUAUAGUUGGGAAGAACACUGAAGUAUUUUUGUAAACAAUUUAGUUUUGCUAUGUGGUGUAUAGUUUGGGAAGUGGGAACCUCAGUUUAUAUUACAACUGUUCUAUUGAAUAUUCUUAAAGCUAAAUAUUCUCCUAAGGUAUGUUACUGAACUACCACUCGUUACUGAUUUAUUUCCACUCAAUGUCGCUAUUCUCUUCUGUCUUUAUUGUACUUAAAAUAUUACAACAGAAAUACCUUCAGUUUUUAAAAACGUCACUAACCUCAGGUUUUGAUUAAUGGUUGUAAUAGGACAUGUAUAGUUUUUGGUAGGACCAAAUUUGUUGGGGAGCAAGUUGACAAAGUUAAAAUUGCGUUCCCCACUCUUUCCACUCUCUAAGCAGCUGUGAAAAUGUGUUUUUUUUUUUUGUAGAUAAAUACCUGGCAUGUGUUUCAUAAGAAGUUUUAGUAGAUUCUACAGUUUAUUCUCAAGUAUUUCAGAAAAGUAUUGGAAUAACAAUUCUCCUUUCAAAUUUAGCAUGGAGUCUUUGCUUAAUGGAAAAAAAACAAUUUGGGCAAAACAUAGGUGCUGUUUGUAUCUGCCUCUUGCAUGUUUUGAAGAAAACUCCCAUAUUAGUGAACGUGUGUUCUUUUCUACUGUUGGCACCCAUCACUGUUAUUUUAAAGGUUUACACUGAAGAUUAGAAUCAGGACAUUUUGGACUUAAUUUUUUAGCUGGUUACCAUAUUCCGAUGCCCUCGUUAGUCAAAUUAGUAACUGCAUGUAUGUAUCAAUUUUUCUAUUAGUAUACAUUAAUUCUUUUAGUAUACAUUAAUUCUUUUAAUAUACUUCCAGUGUCAAUGUCAGUGUUUUAGAUCCUGAUCAGCAAUAUGUGCAAUAAGGGUACUGCUGCAACUAAAAAAAGAAAUAAAAUACAUUUGUAUACUCUACUGCCAUACAUUUAUCCCUACUAAACUUGGCAGCUAGUAUGGAACAGGAGAUAAAAUUUUAAUCUAUUUUAAAUCUAGUUUUCAUUCAGCAUGUUGUAUCAAAAAGAAUGCAAAAACUGAGGCUUAUUCUUGACUUCAGGUUGCACUAUAAUUUUCUUUCUAAAUCAAAACAAAUACGUUCCAGUGCUCUCAGGUACAGAUUUCAUGUUCUGUAUAUUUUGAUCGUUCAUCUAGUCGAUACUAGCUGUUGUCUUUUAGGACUAUGUUGACUAUGUUAUGUUGACUUUUAGGACAGUUUGACCUCUGACCUCUUGAAUAAAAUUGAUAUUUCUUAUCCUUACUAAUAAAAGUUUUAUCUAAUAGCACUGCUGCAGUGUUUAUGUUCUAGGUUACAUGUUAAAUGUAGCUGUCUGUAUCUGUACUUAGUUCAAGUGCCUUAAAGCAUUGAAGUGUAAGUAAUACAAUGCAGCAUACAUACUAUGUUCUCAUAAGUUCAUCAGCAGGAACAGACUUGAUAUGCUUUCUUCACCUUUUUGUUGAGGAUCUCCUUUUCUCCAUAAACUAACAUCCAAAGAGUUUCUGGAGCCUUCUUGGUUAGUGUCACGUGCCUGUUCAAGCUCUGUUGUGGAGGUCUGGCUGCUACAGAUUGUACAUAUACACUAUUUGCUUCAUUUGUUAGUCUUAACAGCAAAUUCUGAUUUUUGAACAGCCUUAAAUACUUUUUAGCAAUCUGUUAAUCUGGAGUUAGUCCAACUAUUAACUUCAUACUGCUAUAAAGUUGAAAUGUAUUUUUCCCGCUGAGGCAAAAUGGCUUACUUGGAGAAGUUUAAUUAUUAAAGUUCAAAUUUUCCAAAAUGGUUCAUGUUUUUCUAGUAGGAAAAUUAUAUUUUUUAAAAGUAAAAUGUUAGUCCAAAGCUUGAUGUAGGCAUGUCUGGCUAUACAAUGAGAUGUUUUUGCUUUCUUAUGUUCCAAAUACUAUUUGGGCUCUAAUUAAAAAAUGCAUGUUAUUAGAAAACUCUACCUACAAAAAUGUUAAUUUUAUUUUUUCCUUUUAAAUCUUUUCUCUUGUUCUUGUUGAACUUUUCAUUGUUGUUGGUCUGUUUUCUCAUUCCCUCGACUGCUGUUCUUUGCCUCAGACUUCUUAGCAUUUGUAAUAACUUCAGAGCCAAAUACUGGAUAUGUACCAAGAUGUAUGUUACAUGGGUUCAUUUGGGUUGUAUGUACAAGUAGUAGGUAGCAAUGUGUAGUACUUGGAAAUCAGUUCUGGCAUGGGUUUCAUGUAGAUUAGACUUUGAACAAGUGAGUGAAGCUAAAGGGCAUCAGCAUUAUAUGUUUAUAGGAGGUCUUACUAUGGGAUUGAUACCUUAGUAAACAACUUUGGAUCUUGUUUGGUAGCUAGCUUUUCAUAUAUAAAUAUUUUUUCAUUUGCAUGUAUCUCAGUGUUGUCAGUGAUGUUGAAGAAGCAGUACAUGCUGUUCAGUGUAUAAGGAGGGGAGAGGGAUUUUUUUCUUCAGUUUGUAAUACUGAAUCCUGAAAUGAGCCUCGAAUUAGUACAAACCUGCAGGCUGAGCACUGGAAAGCUAUGUGAUGGAUAAACCUGAAUUCCAGUGAAUUUUCAGCAGAGAUUUAUUUCAAUGUUUGCAAAAUUUUAUUUUUUUUUCAAACCAAAGGUAACGUUGUUCAAAUGAAAAAGGUAUUUUGAUAAUUUCCUUAGUUAUUCAUUAAUUUCCCUGAUAUUUUCCAUAAUGAGAACCAGGUUUGUUUUAUCAGUGACAGUUUAAAUUGUCCUAGAAUUACAAUACUGCAUGAUACUAUCGUAUAUGGUAUUUUUACAUAAGAGCUCUGUUCCGUCUUUGCACUGAAGUGUGUCUGCCUAAUGAACAUUAGAUUUAGUUGUCAGUCUGUCUAUUUUAUGCUUAAAAUAAUAAGCUUAUUUUAUUGAUUUGUGUAUAUCUAUUUUUUCCCCCUGUUUUGCAGCUAGUAUGUGUUUUUGUCUAAUAUGAGCUAGCUGUAUUAUUUGUUUUGGAAUUCACGUAUUUACAUUGUAAAAUAUUUGUGUCUAUGUUGACAAAUACAGACAUGCAAAAGAUAAUAUUUAAGCUACAUAGACCUACUGCUGGUGUUGGACUGUAUACUCUUAAGGGACAAUUCCAAAGAAAUCUUGGAGGAAAAAAAAACAUUCUGAAGUUUAAUGGUGAUGUCCAGUAUAUUUUCACUAGCCAAGAUGAAACCCUGAGGUUUUACUUCCACUUACCAUGCAUGAAAAUCAGUUGACUGUGCCCAUGUGGCCCAGAAGAAUUUUUUUCCCCCAACUUCUAUUGGCUUUGCUAACUAUUCAGUAAUAGCAGUUCUCAAAUGCCUGCUAAGCCUAUUGUACUUAGUGAUACUCAGGUACUGCAUGUAUUCAGUCUGUCACAAGGAGAAUAUGUUCUUUACUGAGUGGAAAUGUAAGAAAUCUCACAUGACUGAUGAUAGAUCUUAAAUCAUGGAAAGUAAUGAGAAUUUAAGACUUCCGUGUUUUAGGUAAGAAAAAUGUAUACACAGACUUUAAGAGAAGUUACUGAAUCUUGACAUAAGGUACUGUGUGGGUUUUAGAAAGGAAGUGGCUUAUUUCAGGGAAAAAUGUGUCAUCAGCAAUGAAAAGCUUUUUAAAAUCCUUUGAGAUACCUCUUUGAGCUUCUCCUUGUAUAUAUUGUACACCUACACUGGAAAAAGUGACACUCCAGGCGUUUUCUGAGUUUUCUUUUAUGGUCCUUUAACACUAGCAUGGUUUACCUUUUUCAGACAAAGUAUACACCAAUGCACAGUUGAUCAUUUGCACAAUUGACUACAUCAUGUAUAAAAGUUGGGUAUUUUGGUUGGAAACUGAGAGCUUAGACUAAAAAUGGUUGUAUCCUUUUUAGAAAUUCGGGAUUUCAGAAGGACCAGAGAUCCUGGGGAAACAGUAGCUCUACUUGUUCUUACAGUGGCCUUCUAUUAUCAGUCCUUUCAGAUUAUGGUAAAGAUCAACCACCAUUUUCUUUUUUUCGGUGUCUCUAGAAGGUAAAGUGAAAAAUGUACAAAAAUCUCAGAUGUGAUUGCUGGAGUGCAAGAAAGGUAUGGUUGGAGUCACAGUUUUUAAAAAUCUUGUUAAUUGAAAGUCUGCAAGGUAAUGCACUCUUCACUUCCUAUUUUAGUAAAACAUACAUUUUUCUGUCAUAUACAUAACAAUUUGUCGUAUACGUGAAUUUUCUCUGUUAACAUGUGAGAACUAUAUAUCUGUAGAUUCAUUGUUAGUGUUGAAGGGCAGUUUUCUUCUUAAGAAGAUCAUUGGAAAGUCAAUAUAGCAGUGGGCGCAGUAAGUUGAAGUUCCUUCUUUCCUUGUAUUUCUUUUUAUUCUGGGUGGACCAUGUGUCUAAAGUUGUUUAAUAAACACAAACAGUAUUGAAUGUCCA